GACGAACGCUGGCGGCGUGCCUAAUACAUGCAAGUAGAACGCUGAAGGAGGAGCUUGCUCUUCUGGAUGAGUUGCGAACGGGUGAGUAACGCGUAGGUAACCUGCCUGGUAGCGGGGGAUAACUAUUGGAAACGAUAGCUAAUACCGCAUAAGAGUAGAUGUUGCAUGACAUUUACUUAAAAGGUGCAAUUGCAUCACUACCAGAUGGACCUGCGUUGUAUUAGCUAGUUGGUGGGGUAACGGCUUACCAAGGCGACGAUACAUAGCCGACCUGAGAGGGUGAUCGGCCACACUGGGACUGAGACACGGCCCAGACUCCUACGGGAGGCAGCAGUAGGGAAUCUUCGGCAAUGGACGGAAGUCUGACCGAGCAACGCCGCGUGAGUGAAGAAGGUUUUCGGAUCGUAAAGCUCUGUUGUAAGAGAAGAACGGGUGUGAGAGUGGAAAGUUCACACUGUGACGGUAUCUUACCAGAAAGGGACGGCUAACUACGUG
rnacentral:rRNA from 1 species